GACGAACGCUGGCGGCGUGCUUAACACAUGCAAGUCGAACGGUAAGGCCCUUCGGGGUACACGAGUGGCGAACGGGUGAGUAACACGUGGGUGAUCUGCCCUGCACUUCGGGAUAAGCCUGGGAAACUGGGUCUAAUACCGGAUAGGACCACUGCCUGCAUGGGUGGUGGUGGAAAGCUUUUGCGGUGUGGGAUGGGCCCGCGGCCUUUCAGCUUGUUGGUGGGGUGAUGGCCUACCAAGGCGACGACGGGUAGCCGGCCUGAGAUGGUGACCGGCCACACUGGGACUGAGAUACGGCCCAGACUCCUACGGGAGGCAGCAGUGGGGAAUAUUGCACAAUGGGCGCAAGCCUGAUGCAGCGACGCCGCGUGAGGGAUGACGGCCUUCGGGUUGUAAACCUCUUUCAGCACCGACGAAGCGCAAGUGACGGUAGGUGCAGAAGAAGGACCGGCCAACUACGUGCCAGCCGCCGCAGUAA
rnacentral:rRNA from 1 species